UAGGGAAUUUUCGGCAAUGGAGGAAACUCUGACCGAGCAACGCCGCGUGAAGGAUGAAGGUCUUCGGAUUGUAAACUUCUUUUAUAUGGGAAGAAACGAUGGAAUAGGAAAUGAUUCCAUUUUGACUGUACCAUGUGAAUAAGACACGGCAAACUCUGUGCCAGCAGCCGCGGUAAUACAGAGGUGUCAAGCGUUAUCCGGAUUUAUUGGGCGUAAAGGAUGAGUAGGUUGUUCUGAAAGUCUGUAAUGAAAUGCUGUUGCUUAACGACAGCCUGUUACGGAAACUACAGAGCUAGAGACAAGGAGAGGUAAGCGGAAUUCCAUGUGUAGCGGUAAAAUGCGUAGAUAUAUGGAGGAACACCAGUGGCGAAGGCGGCUUACUGGCCUUGAUCUGACGCUG
rnacentral:rRNA from 1 species